GACGAACGCUGGCGGCGUGCCUAAUACAUGCAAGUGGGACGCAAGGGAACACACUGUGCUUGCACACCGUGUUUUCUUGAGUCGCGAACGGGUGAGUAACGCGUAGGUAACCUGCCUAUUAGCGGGGGAUAACUAUUGGAAACGAUAGCUAAUACCGCAUAAUAUUAAUUAUUGCAUGAUAAUUGAUUGAAAGAUGCAAGCGCAUCACUAGUAGAUGGACCUGCGUUGUAUUAGCUAGUUGGUAAGGUAAGAGCUUACCAAGGCGACGAUACAUAGCCGACCUGAGAGGGUGAUCGGCCACACUGGGACUGAGACACGGCCCAGACUCCUACGGGAGGCAGCAGUAGGGAAUCUUCGGCAAUGGACGAAAGUCUGACCGAGCAACGCCGCAUGAGUGAGGAAG
rnacentral:rRNA from 1 species